GACGAACGCUGGCGGCGUGCUUAACACAUGCAAGUCGAACGGAAAGGCCCUGCUUUUGUGGGGUGCUCGAGUGGCGAACGGGUGAGUAACACGUGAGUAACCUGCCCUUGACUUUGGGAUAACUUCAGGAAACUGGGGCUAAUACCGGAUAGGAGCUCCUGCUGCAUGGUGGGGGUUGGAAAGUUUCGGCGGUUGGGGAUGGACUCGCGGCUUAUCAGCUUGUUGGUGGGGUAGUGGCUUACCAAGGCUUUGACGGGUAGCCGGCCUGAGAGGGUGACCGGCCACAUUGGGACUGAGAUACGGCCCAGACUCCUACGGGAGGCAGCAGUGGGGAAUAUUGCACAAUGGGCGGAAGCCUGAUGCAGCAACGCCGCGUGCGGGAUGACGGCCUUCGGGUUGUAAACCGCUUUCGCCUGUGACGAAGCGUGAGUGACGGUAAUGGGUAAAGAAGCACCGGCUAACUACGUGCCAGCAGCCGCGGUGAUACGUAGGGUGCGAGCGUUGUCCGGACUUAUUGGGCGUAAAGGGCUCGUAGGUGGUUGAUCGCGUCGGAAGUGUAAUCUUGGGGCUUAACCCUGAGCGUGCUUUCGAUACGGGUUGACUUGAGGAAGGUAGGGGAGAAUGGAAUUCCUGGUGGAGCGGUGGAAUGCGCAGAUAUCAGGAGGAACACCAGUGGCGAAGGCGGUUCUCUGGGCCUUUCCUGACGCUGAGGAGCGGAAGCGUGGGGAGCGAACAGGCUUAGAUACCCUGGUAGUCCACGCUGUAAACGGUGGGUACUAGGUGUGGGGUCCAUUCCACGGGUUCCGUGCCGUAGCUAACGCUUUAAGUACCCCGCCUGGGGAGUACGGCCGCAAGGCUAAAACUCAAAGGAAUUGACGGGGCCCCGCACAAGCGGCGGAGCAUGCGGAUUAAUUCGAUGCAACGCGUAGAACCUUACCUGGGUUUGACAUGGAUCGGGAGUGCUCAGAGAUGGGUGUGCCUCUUUUGGGGUCGGUUCACAGGUGGUGCAUGCCUGUCGUCAGCUCGUGUCGUGAGAUGUUGGGUUAAGUCCCGCAACGAGCGCAACCCUUGUUCACUGUUGCCAGCACGUUAUGGUGGGGACUCAGUGGAGACCGCCGGGGUCAACUCGGAGGAAGGUGGGGAUGACGUCAAGUCCUCAUGCCCCUUAUGUCCAGGGCUUCACGCAUGCUACAAUGGCUGGUACAGAGAGUGGCGAGCCUGUGAGGGUGAGCGAAUCUCGGAAAGCCGGUCUCAGUUCGGAUUGGGGUCUGCAACUCGACCUCAUGAAGUCGGAGUCGCUAGUAAUCGCAGAUCAGCAACGCUGCGGUGAAAACGUUCCCGGGGCU
rnacentral:rRNA from 1 species